rnacentral:rRNA from 1 species
GACGAACGCUGGCGGCGUGCUUAACACAUGCAAGUCGAACGAAGUGGCGAACGGGUGAGUAACGCGUAAUCAACCUGCCCUUCAGAGGGGGACAACAGUUGGAAACGACUGCUAAUACCGCAUACUGAAGGAGGGGAUUGCGUCUGAUUAGCUAGUGGGAGGGGUAACGGCCCACCAAGGCGAUGAUCGGUAGCCGGUCUUGGAGUCUGGACGGCCACAUUUGGACUGAGACCAGGCCCAGACUCCUACGGGAGGCAGCAGUGGGGAAGCUUCCGCAAUGGACGAAAGUCUGACGGAGCAACGCCGCGUGAGUGAUGACGGCCUUCGGGUUGUAAAGCGCUGUUAAUCGGGACGCGGUACCGGAAGAGAAAGCCACGGCUAACUACGUGCCAGCAGCCGCGGUAAUAC